rnacentral:rRNA from 1 species
UACGGGGGGGGUAAGCGUUGUUCGGAAUUACUGGGCGUAAAGGGCUCGUAGGCGGCCAACUAAGUCAGACGUGAAAUCCCUCAGCUUAACUGGGGAACUGCGUCUGAUACUGGAUGGCUUGGAUUCGGGAGAGGAAUGCGGAAUUCCAGGUGUAGCGGUGAAAUGCGUAGAUAUCGGUAGGAACACCAGUGGCGAAGGCGGUCUCCUGGGGCAUUCUUGACGCUGAGGCGCGGAAAGCUGGGGGGAGCGAACGGG